rnacentral:tRNA from 1 species
GGCUCCAUAGUGUAGUGGUUAGCAUGUCUGCUUUAUAUGCAGAAGAUCCUGGGUUCGCGCCCGGGUGCGCCA